rnacentral:tRNA from 1 species
GCCGACAUAGCUCAGUUGGUAGAGCAGGGGUUUUGUAAACCUCAGGUCCGGGGUUCGAGUCCUCGUGUCGGCACCA